GGACUACACGGGUUUCUAAUCCUGUUUGCUCCCCACGCUUUCGCACCUCAGCGUCAGUAUCUUCCCAGAUCGCCGCCUUCGCCACUGGUGUUCCUCCCGAUAUCUACGAAUUUCACCUCUACACCGGGAAUUCCGCGAUCCUCUUAAGUACUCAAGCUCUGUAGUUUCGGAUGCACUUCCUUGGUUAAGCCGAGGGAUUUCACAUCCGACUUACAAAGCCGCCUACGUGCGCCUUACGCCCAAUAAUUCCGAGCAACGUUUGCACCCUUCGUAUUACCGCGGCUGCUGGCAC
rnacentral:rRNA from 1 species